UACCCUUGGGUUGUGGGCUGUUUGGUCGAU
rnacentral:piRNA from 1 species